UACGGGAGGCAGCAGGGGGAAUAUUGCACAAUGGGCGCAAGCCUGAUGCAGCCAUGCCGCGUGUAUGAAGAAGGCCUUCGGGUUGUAAAGUACUUUCAGUCGUGAGGAAGGUGUUAAGGUUAAUAACCUUAGCAAUUGACGUUAGCGACAGAAGAAGCACCGGCUAACUCCGUGCCAGCAGCCGCGGUAAUACGGAGGGUGCGAGCGUUAAUCGGAAUUACUGGGCGUAAAGGGCACGCAGGCGGUUAAUUAAGUUGGAUGUGAAUCCCCGGGCUUAACCUGGGAAUGGCAUUCAAGACUGGUUAGCUAGAGUCUUGUAGAGGGGGUAGAAUUCCAUGUGUAGCGGUGAAAUGCGUAGAGAUGUGGAGGAAUACCGGUGGCGAAGGCGGCCCCUGGACAAAGACUGACGCUCAUGUGCGAAAGCGUGGGGAGCAAACGAGGGAUUAGA
rnacentral:rRNA from 1 species